GGUUGGAGCCUCAAAUGCUGCUCAAAUGGAAGUAGCACUGAGGGUCCGGUGCUCUGUGCCCUUGUAUUCGACACCCAGCAGGUGCCAGCAGACUGCAGCCAGACCUGUGUGUAACUCAUGCGGUCUUUCCUUGAGACUUCUGCUCUGCAUGCAAGAAUCAGCACAAGGGCGUUUCUUCCAAGGAGAUCUUCUCAAUUAUGCAGUGAGUGUUCUGAAUACUACCAGUCAAGGUAGGAGGGAGAUUCCUUUGUUCAAUACAGACAGUCCUUAGCAAAUACAGCCACCUUCCCUCCCUCUCCGCUGUCCAUCAAGCUUGGAAGACUUAGGACACCACUGUGUCUUCUUCACGCCUCCACUUGAGCACUUCAUGCCACUAGAUGGAAUCACUCAAGCAAAUGGGUAGAGAUCACUAUGAAUUUAUGAGCAAAAGCCUCAAACUGGCAGCAAUCCCCCGUUGUUGCUUGCUUUCUGGUACCAUCUCAUUUCCCUUUAUAGGUCUUCCUCUGCCAUUUUAACUGUAACAUCACCCUCAAGCUUAUUUGUCUUCCCUUCUUGCCAUUCAAAGCCUAUAGACCAACCUACACACACAUUUGCCUUAAGUUCAUGUCCUUGUGGCCAAGGCCAAUCUCUCCCUUGCAUCUGGAUCUCAUGUCCAUUACUUUCAGGUUCUCCCAUUGUUUUCAGAGUCUCAGGAAGAAUUAGUUACAUGGGAAAAAACAAUGAACAUUCCAUAUUAAUGUAAUAACAGUGGUAAAUUAGGUCUAAUAGGAUUGUUUUUGAAUGAUAGUUUUACUCUAGAAAACUCAUGCAGAAUACUUCUACAAAAUCAAUCUCUUUAACCUACAAUGACCCAUGAUGUUUUAUGGCAAAUCUUCUGUUUGCUGACUAAAGUUCACAAUCUAAUACCAUUCCUAGCCAUGUAAUAUAAUACCCCAGUUGCUCUGGUUAGGUAGGUUUUGUUGUUGUCCCUUAUAGAAUGUCUUGCCUUUACUUCACUACUCUCUCUUUUCUGCUUAUCUAGCUAGUGGAAGAACAAUCACUGUUGUGUAUCUAAGGCAAACUACCAAA